rnacentral:rRNA from 1 species
AGUGAACGCUGGCGGUAGGCCUAACACAUGCAAGUCGAACGGCAGCACAGUAAGAGCUUGCUCUUACGGGUGGCGAGUGGCGGACGGGUGAGGAACACAUCGGAAUCUACUUUUUCGUGGGGGAUAACGUAGGGAAACUUACGCUAAUACCGCAUACGACCUACGGGUGAAAGCAGGGGAUCUUCGGACCUUGCGCGAUUGAAUGAGCCGAUGUCGGAUUAGCUAGUUGGCGGGGUAAAGGCCCACCAAGGCGACGAUCCGUAGCUGGUCUGAGAGGAUGAUCAGCCACACUGGAACUGAGACACGGUCCAGACUCCUACGGGAGGCAGCAGUGGGGAAUAUUGGACAAUGGGCGCAAGCCUGAUCCAGCCAUACCGCGUGGGUGAAGAAGGCCUUCGGGUUGUAAAGCCCUUUUGUUUGGAAAGAAAAGCAGCAGGUUAAUACCCCGCUGUUCUGACGGUACCCAAAGAAUAAGCACCGGCUAACUUCGUG